ACGCGCGUCUUUGCAAGCAGACGACGAAAGGAUGAUGCAUGGAGGGCUGAGGGAAAACCUAUUUUGCGAAAACCAGACGUUCAGCCAUUGCCUGUUGGCAAACAUGGAUGAGCUGAAUGAACACUUAGCAGCUUUUCCAAAAUCGAGCAACUGAGAGGGCACUGAAGCUGAGGAGGAAGCCUGCAGCUGGGCUCUUACAAGCCACUGACAAGUACAUGGUGACCUGUGUAAAAGAAUGGCUUCGAGUUCCAGGAGCAAGGCUUAGAAAUGGCAUAAGGAAAACGUGUACUGAAAAACAGAGGUGCAGAUAGAGAAUCUGCAAACAAAAGUGCUGAAUUGCAACGGAACAAAGAAAUCCAAAAAGUUGGUGUUGACAACAUAUUUUUCACAGGGUUAUGACCCUUGGUUUUGAACUUGGUACAUAUUCUGCCAGAUUCUCUUGGACACUACUGAAGUUAAUAAAUGAAACUUUCCGUGCUUAUCUAAGGUACAAACUCCAAAAGAUGGUU